rnacentral:rRNA from 2 species
UAUAAUGACUCUCGGCAACGGAUAUCUAGGCUCUUGCAUCGAUGAAGAACGUAGCGAAAUGCGAUACUUGGUGUGAAUUGCAGAAUCCCGUGAACCAUCGAGUCUUUGAACGCAAGUUGCGCCCAAUGCCAUUAGGUUGAGGGCACGUCUGCCUGGGUGUCACAU